AUCGAUAUCUCUGUGUUCUCUUAUGUCUGUGUCGUCAACAUCUGAACAUUUUUGAGCGGUCCGCUCUUUCUGACUGUAAACAAAGCCGUUCUCCACCUCCUCUAACCUGAUUGGUUGUGAGGCAGACGCUGCUCCCCCGUGUCGUUCAGGAGCCCAAACAAAGUUAGCGUGCUACAAUAUCGGACAGUAGAAACCAACCAGAAAGUUUGGAAAAUUGUCUGAAUCCUCCUUUGGCCACGACUGCCGACACAAGCAAGAAAACAAAGUAAAUACCGGAGACUCUGGAGGAAUAACGGGCGCUUAAAACGGAGGUAGACCGGACAAGAGCUAAAAAGCCGGGUCAACAUAAACGAUGGGGGACGCUUGGGGAUCUUGGUGACCCUGUAACCUUUCUGCUGGACAGGUAAACCGCUUUAACAAAGUAAGACAAGUGUCUGUAACAGAAGUGUUUCUUGUCAAACGGACCUGCUGUAGCGUGUUGUAGCGCCAUCGCUAAACU